GCCACGGUGGUCUAGCGGUUAGAACGCUGGCCUUGUAAUCCUGGGGCCCCGGGUUCGAUUCCCGGCGGUGCCC
rfam:Zootermopsis nevadensis contig14114, whole genome shotgun sequence.